rnacentral:rRNA from 1 species
GACAAACGCUGGCGGCGUGCCUAAUACAUGCAAGUCGAACGAGUGGAGGACGGGUGAGUAACACGUGGGAACCUACCAAUUAGAGGGGGAUAACUAUUGGAAACGAAAGCUAAUACAGCAUACAAUCGGAUGUGCCCAGAUGGGAUUAGAUAGUAGGUGGGGUAAAGGCUCACCUAGGAGACGAUCCCUAGCUGGUCUGAGCGGAUGACCAGCCACACGGGAACUGAGACACGGUCCAGACUCCUACGGGAGGCAGCAGUGGGGAAUAUUGCACAAUGGGCGCAAGCCUGAUGCAGCCAUGCCGCGUGUAUGAAGAAGUCCUUCGGGUUGUAAAGUACUUUCAGCGGGGAGGCGUUACCCGCAGAAGAAGCACCGGCUAACUCCGUGCCAGCAGCCGCGGUAAUUC